GAUGAAGAACGUAGUGAAAUGCGAUAAGUAAUGUGAAUUGCAGAAUUCAGUGAAUCAUCGAAUCUUUGAACGCACAUUGCGCCCGCCAGCAUUCUGGCGGGCAUGCCUGUUCGAGCGUCAUUUCAACCCUCGCAGCCCAUCUGGGCAGCGGUGUUGGGGACCGGCACCACCGGCGAAGCCCUUAGGGGCCCAGCCGGCGCCGCCCCCGAAAUACAGUGGCGGUCUCGCUGCAGCCUCCCUUGCGUAGUAGCACACCUCGCACCGGAGCGCAGCGCGGCCACGCCGUAAAACCCCCGACUUUCUGAGUUUGACCUCGAAUCAGGUAGGAAUACCCGCUGAACUUAAGCAUAUCAAUAAGCGGAGGA
rnacentral:misc_RNA from 1 species